GUGGGAUGCCCCCUCAGCAUGGCUUGAUGAGUGGUGCCAUGUCCGCGCCCAGGAUCCAAACCAGCGAAACCCUGGGCUGCUGAAGCAGAGCACAUGACCUUAACCACUCGGCCAUGGGGCCAGCCCCUAUCAUAAUGUUUUAAAAGACAGUGUUUACAUUACUGAAUAGAAAUAAGAAUAAGUUUACUCAUGAUUGCAUGAAGAGAAAACUUGUUUCAAUAAGGACUAAAGAGAAAGCCAAGGAAGUAUACCAAAAUGUUACAAAAAGAUUAACAAAAAGAUUGUGACUGGGAUAAAUAAAUAAAAUGAGCUGAAGGAAAAAAUAAUGUCCUAGGAACCCAGAUGAUGUUAUUUCCUUCUCCUUUAGGAAACAGAUCAUAUCUACAAGGGAAUGUUGUAAUGUAUAGAACUUUAUAGAAGAAAAAAUAUUCCUUUUUGUCUUUGGGGCCCAGGCCCUCAGAAUACAUGCAUUUUUAUUAAUAGCAACAAUAACUGCUGUUGUUUUUGUAAUAAUAAUUUCAUGCUAAGCAUUUGUUUUUAAUUUUUCAGCAAGACUAGCCCUGAGCUAACAUCUGUCAAUCCUCCUCUUUUUGCUGAGGAAGACUGGCCCUGAGCUAACAUCCAUGCCCAUCUUCCUCUAUUUUAUAUGUGGGACGCCUGCCACAGCAUGGCUUGCCAACUGGUGCCAUGUCCACACCCAGAAUUCAAACCGGUGAACCCCAGGCCGCCAAAGUGGAACGUGCACACUUAACUGCUGCACCACUGGGCCGGCCCCCAUGCUAAGCAUUUUUAAAUGAAGAUAGUGAACCUCAGGUAGGUUAAAUAACUAGCUUAAGGUCAUUAGUGGAAGCUAGUAAGCAGUUAAGCCAGAAUUCAAACCAAAGUCUGUUCCACUACAAAGCUUGUGGCGUUAACCUCUGUACAAACUGGCCAUAUACCCAACUCCAUCUCCACUUCCUCUGUCGCUUUCAACCAGUUGAGUUACUUCUGAUACGUGGAUCAGAGGCUUACCUUAACAUCUAGGUUGAUUACAUUGUUUUACUACAUUACAGGGCUCCAAUUUUAAUUUUUUUAAGGAAAAAAACAUUUACAGAAAACUUAAUUGUGACUAUGAUUUGAUUCAUAUAAAAAUGUUGAAGCUCUUAUAGGCACUACACCAAGAACAAAGGCAAAUGGGACAAAAAAAGAGCUCAAAGUAGGCCAUUUGCUGAAAUCUUAAAUUUGAUCAGCCCUUUCUUCCAGGGAAAAUAGUCUUUGUACCUGUUACAGGAGAGAGGAUUUAGAUAAAGUAUUUAACCCCUUGAGCUAUCUCCCACGCUCCACACAGGGUACAGAAACACAAAGAAUGAUUUACUCACCAAGGUUGAGCCCAGAUUUAAUAUUCUGUGUCUGAAGUUUCCCCAACUCCUAAAAUUUUCUGACUCUGAGUUUUCUCUCUUGUGGUUAGGGCAGCCAGACUGAUCUAACAGUCCCUGAAGACCCAUCUCUGAAUUUUGUGUUCUGUAUAUGCUAGUGUCUGCUUAGAAUGUGCAUUUCAGACGCUUGGGGACCCCCCUUUUCCUUAUGGGAUAGAACUUUGAGACAUACUAUCAGCCCCAGGGACCCUUUUGGGAAAACUUCUACCCAAGAUAAACACAAAAUAUUCUCAAUAGGAGACUGCCCUUUACUUCAUAAUAAAAGUAUAGCAAGCCUUUCUUAAGUUGUAGAAUAUGUGCUUUUCCUCUAAGACUCUCUAUCUCCUAAUACGUUGGCCUUAUUUCUAGGCAUAGUUUCAUGACGGUGGUUACCGUAAACCCACAGUGUACAAGUCCAUUUAGGAUCCAAGAGAGAGCCCAGACCUUGAGUAGUUCCCAGUUCAUAUAUUCACGAGACAUCCAUAAUCUAAGAUUGCCCAUUGCUUAUUCACUUGCUCAGAAUAUUCCUCAUUACCAGGCUUUAGAGCUGCUCUCCUAGACAGCUCUACCAAUACAGGCAAAUGUGUCAAGUCCCCUCCUUCAGGCUAUGUCAGGGUCCUACACAAGCCACCCAUCCACUUUUGUCCAUUGCUACAAGACCCUUUUCUCUCUUUCUAAAGAAAAAAACCACAGAUUUCCACUAAUAUCUCUUCUAUAGUGCUUGUGUGUGUGUGUGUGUGUGUGUGUGUGGGAAAUAUAAAAACUCCCAUCUCACCUGCCAAUAGAUUUUGGCUGUGUAUCUAACAAUUUUAAGUGACACUUAGCUUGUAGUAAAUGAUUGUUGAAUGAUAGGAUAAAUGAAUAUUUAAAUUCAUCUUCUCUAAUGCUUAUUCUUGUGCCUAGAAUACAAGACGUUUAUUUGUUGAAAUAAUUAAUCAAAGCAGUAAUUACUUGGAGUUAAAAUAUAUGUAAGUUUACCUACUGUAAACUUUCAAAAUACAUAAAAAUUCAUACAAAGAAUAAAGGACUCAUUACAUUACUAAUUCAUUCUCUCCUUACAUAAAAUUGUUUUGGAAAUAAACAAAUUUCAAAAUUGUGAGGCAAUGUUUUAUUGUUACAUUGUCAAAUGGUAAAAAUGAUUCAUUUAACAAAUAUUUAUUGGGCCCCAGCUGUGUGCCUGCCACUGCGCUGGCCUCUGAGACGCAGGGUGAUGGUAGUGAGUGAGGUGGAGGAGGUACUAGGUAAGGCUGGAGGAGGAGGCAGACCAUGCAGGGGCCUCUCCUCCCCAGCCCCCACCCAUGUGAAGCCAGGGCUGUUUCUAGGAAGAGGAGUGCCAUGGUAGGUGUGACAUAAUUUGCUUUGCUCAGUACCAGGAAUAGAGUAGAAGGAAGGUUCGAGUAGAUUUUAAUGGACCUGUAAAGCUACACAUUCACCCAAAGAGAAACCAUCUUUGAUUUGGAAGGACUGAGACACAUCUUGUCUGUUUCAUAGUUUUGUUUCAUUGCUGAUAACCAGUAAGGUGUUUCAGAAGUUUCUGUAUAAAUCAGGAGGUGAGAAAAAAGGCAGUUUGUAGUGAAAAUGCUUAAUUUGUGAAGCUAGUACAUUUUCACUUUAGCAGAAAUUUGAGAUAAUGUGAAACUGCCUUACAGUUUAUACUUUUAUGAUAAUGACUUUCUAUCUCCUCAUCAUUUAUAAAAUUCUAACAUCAAUAACUAAUGGCACAAUUUCUUUUUUAAGUAAUCAGUAAGACAUUCCAUAUGUAUUUUCAUCUUCUAAGCAACUUCAGAGGAAACAUUUUUUCAUGUUUAAUUCCUUACUGAGGUGACUGUAUCAAACUCAUGAUGUAGCUCUGUGUUUUAGAAAUGUAUUAUUUAAAGACUGCUUAACACUGCCAUCUUAUUGCAUCAGAAUGACUGUUCUCUUUGUCAUCCAUUCAUACUUUUGGCACCACUGCGUUCAAAUGAAUUAUCUACUUAUCGAGAUUGUCACAUGAUAUUUUAACUUCCAGCUCAUAUAAGUAUCCUUUCUUUUCCAAUUAUUGUUUUGUGCUUUGGGGCAAAAUGGAUACUGAGUCAAAAGAGAAUAUAAAGACACAGAGUUUUCAUCUCAGUGCUUUUUCCAUUUAAAUUCCAUAAAAAGUAAGAAACCUCAAGAAAAGGAAGUUUUCAUAUACAUAUGAACUGCUAGGAUGAUUAUGUUGAAGGAGAAGGAAACAGAGAAGUCUGGGUUUCAAUGUUACCGCUGCUACAUAAUCUUAGGAAAGUCGCUGUAAUUUAAAAAGACUUGUCUCAUAUGCAGAAUGGGAAUAACGAUGCUAUUGCUUUGGAUUAUUAUGAGAAUUAAAUGUGUCAAUGUAUAUUAAGGUGUUUUGUGUAUGGUAAAACUUUAUACAAAUAUUAGUCAAUUUCAUCACGUGAAGAUUUACAGCUACUCAAGGACAUUUCUGUUGGGAGCACAGCUUUCAUAAAGAAGCUAUAGAACUCACACUUGAGGGAAGGCAGCUGUAGAAUGGAUUGAAAAGAAUCCAAGAAACAAAUUAUACCAUUGUUUGCAUCAAGAUAGCCUACAGCAAUAAAUCAGCCACAUUCAUUCCCAUGCACCUGCAAAUAAACAUGAGUGACGGAUACUGUGCAGGCACUCUUGCGGUGGAAAGAAAAUUAAAUCAGAGUUCUGGUGUGGCUUGAAAUUCUUAAAGCUUGAGA
rnacentral:lncRNA from 1 species